rnacentral:tRNA from 2 species
UCCUCUGUAGUUCAGUCGGUUAGAACGGCGGACUGUUAAUCCGUAUGUCACUGGUUCGAGUCCAGUCAGAGGAGCCA